AUCAAAAAGAGAAAAGAAGACAGAGAAAAAUUCUUGUCUUAUAGACAUCAGCACAUUCACUGCCAGAUGAAGACCUUGGUAUAUUCACUUCUUGCCUUGUCCCCACUCCUGGCAUCAGGUAACCCAGUCUGCUCACAGCAGCUAAAAAGCAGCACCUGGACUUUAUACCCUGCCCAGCACAGCUACAAUCAACAGCACGAAGACACCUGGCCUUACUGUUCUGGGGUUCCCUGUGCUCCACUCUGGUGCAUGAACCUCCAUGGGCUGGGGAGAAACAAAAGCACGGGAAAUCAGGAAGCUGGAAGAAAAUGCAUUUGACUUCUCCAUGUAGGAGCUGAUUACUUUUAGCCACUGCAACAGCUUGUCGCUGGUCUCUCCUGAGUAUUUGUGUGCAAUUGGGCUUCAACCAGCAGGACUCUGAGCAGCUCUCAGUCAUGCCCCAAGGCUAUAAAUUCCUGGGAGCAGAGGAAGGGACAGAUCCAAAUCUCCCACAACCUGGUGGAGAGCUUUAACUGGUGAUUUAUUACACAGCAGGACAAGCACCUGGCUGCUUUUGUGAUAGGAAGCUGCACAACUCCAGAGUGUGUUGCAUCCCUUUUGGAGGCAGGCAUUUGACAGCAGCUGAAAACCAGACUACCUUUGGUAACUCUACUCUUGUCACUCCAAGUCCCACAGAUCCAUUCUGACAUACCUGACCCUGUCUGUUCACUGCAUAAAGGAUCCACAGAAGAUCCACUCAGAUGACUCCAAUGGAUUCCUCCAGCAAGCAGUGCCUGGCACCCACUGUCCCAUGCUGACAUCAUCCUGUUCAACAGGUAUUUCUAUCUGGCUUGAAUGGUCCUGAAGAGAGGCUGAAGAUGGAUAGUGAGGCAGAAGAUGGCUUCCCACCAGAGCCCCCUGUGACAGGUAUGUGGUUCUGUACAGUAUUGCCAUAAAAAGCCCAAGAUUUAAAGCACCAGUAAUAUCCCUGACAUACACUGGAGAUGUGAUAACCUGGGUCACAGUGUUCAAAAAUCCAUCUGAUUCCAGAGCCUGAGAGGGGGGAAAGAAGAAAAGCCCAGCAAAACUUUCAAAGCAGUUUACAGUUUGUUUUGAGGGACACAGAUACACAGACUCCUGUGCGUUCUGCUUUCUGCGGUGGAGAGCGGAGGAAGCACCCUGCUUGCUUUCCAGCCAGCUUUCGGCCUUUUUUCUCUGGAGGGAGACAGAGAGUUGAACUUUUG